AUCUUUCUAGUAUUAAAUUAUUAUAAGUGACUUCCAAUCACCCGAUCUUGGUUAAAGUCCAAGAAAAGAUA
rnacentral:tRNA from 1 species